GCCGAAAUAGCUCAGUUGGGAGAGCGUUAGACUGAAGAUCUAAAGGUCCCUGUUUCAAUCCGGGUUUCGGCA
rnacentral:tRNA from 1 species